GAAAAGCUGCAUUACGAAAACAAAGGGGAAAUUAGAAACACAAGCAAAACAAAACAAAAUAAUAAAGCAUAGGUACUCCCGCAGAAAUAAAGUAAAUAUGUAUGAAGGCAUAAGCAACAUAAAUACAGUCACAUGCAUUAGUGCAAUAAUAACAAGCCGUAACUACCAUACUAACACUCAUAAGGAGACAUAAGCUAAAACACU
rnacentral:lncRNA from 1 species